rnacentral:rRNA from 1 species
GACAGAGGGUGCAAACGUUGCUCGGAAUCACUGGGCGUAAAGGGCGUGUAGGCGGGUAGGCAAGUCGGGCGUGAAAUCCCUGAGCUCAACUCAGGAACUGCACUCGAAACUGCUUAUCUUGAGUGCCGGAGAGGAAAGCGGAAUACCUGGUGUAGAGGUGAAAUUCGUAGAUAUCAGGUGGAACACCAGUGGCGAAGGCGGCUUUCUGGACGGUAACUGACGCUGAGACGCGAAAAGCGUGGGGGAGCAAAACAGGG